rfam:Salmo salar isolate Sally breed double haploid chromosome ssa02, whole genome shotgun sequence.
GUAGCUCAGUUGGUAGAGCAUGGUGCUUGUAACACCAAGGUAGUGGGUUCACCUUCC